rnacentral:rRNA from 1 species
GAGUUGUAUCCUGGCUCAGGACGAACGCUGGCGGCGUGCUUAACACAUGCAAGUCGACGGAAAGGCUCCUGCUUGCAGGGGUACUCGAGUGGCGAACGGGUGAGUAACACGUGGGUGAUCUGCCUUGUACUCUGGGAUAAGCUUGGGAAACUGGGUCUAAUACCGGAUAGUAGCUGCCUUUAGUGUGGUGGUUGGAAAGUUUUUCGGUGCAAGAUGAGCUCGCGGCCUAUCAGCUUGUUGUGGGGUAAUGGCCUACCAAGGCGUCGACGGGUAGCCGGCCUGAGAGGGUGUACGGCCACAUUGGGACUGAGAUACGGCCCAGACUCCUACGGGAGGCAGCAGUGGGGAAUAUUGCACAAUGGGCGGAAGCCUGAUGCAGCGACGCCGCGUGGGGGAUGACGGCCUUCGGGUCGUAAACUCCUUUCGACAGGGACGAAGCUUUUGUGACGGUACCUGUAUAAGAAGCACCGGCUAACUACGUG